GUGGGGAAUAUUGCACAAUGGGGGAAACCCUGAUGCAGCGACGCCGCGUGAAGGAAGAAGUAUCUCGGUAUGUAAACUUCUAUCAGCAGGGAAGAAAAUGACGGUACCUGACUAAGAAGCCCCGGCUAACUACGUGCCAGCAGCCGCGGUAAUACGUAGGGGGCAAGCGUUAUCCGGAUUUACUGGGUGUAAAGGGAGCGUAGACGGAAGAGCAAGUCUGAUGUGAAAGGCUGGGGCUUAACCCCAGGACUGCAUUGGAAACUGUUUUUCUAGAGUGCCGGAGAGGUAAGCGGAAUUCCUAGUGUAGCGGUGAAAUGCGUAGAUAUUAGGAGGAACACCAGUGGCGAAGGCGGCUUACUGGACGGUAACUGACGUUGAGGCUCGAAAGCGUGGGGAGCAAACAGGAUUAGAUACCCUGGUAGUCC
rnacentral:rRNA from 1 species